GAUGAACGCUGGCGGCGUGCUUAACACAUGCAAGUCGAACGGAAAGGCUCCUGCUUGCUGGGGUACUCGAGUGGCGAACGGGUGAGUAACACGUGGGUGAUCUGCCCUGCACUUCGGGAUAAGACUGGGAAACUGGGUCUAAUACCGGAUAGGACCACAUUUUGGAUGGUGUGGUGGAAAGUUUUUCGGUGUGGGAUGAGCUCGCGGCCUAUCAGCUUGUUGGUGGGGUAAUGGCCUACCAAGGCGUCGACGGGUAGCCGGCCUGAGAGGGUGUACGGCCACAUUGGGACUGAGAUACGGCCCAGACUCCUACGGGAGGCAGCAGUGGGGAAUAUUGCACAAUGGGCGCAAGCCUGAUGCAGCGACGCCGCGUGUGGGAUGACGGCCUUCGGGUUGUAAACUCCUUUCGCUAGAGACGAAGCGCAAGUGACGGUACCUGGAGAAGAAGCACCGGCUAACUACGUG
rnacentral:rRNA from 1 species